rnacentral:rRNA from 1 species
CUAAGGCCGAUGGCGACCGGCGCACGGGUGAGUAACACGUAUCCAACCUGCCGUCUAUUCUUGGACAGCCUUCUGAAAGGAAGAUUAAUACAAGAUGGCAUCAUGAGUCCGCAUGUUCACAUGAUUAAAGGUAUUCCGGUAGACGAUGGGGAUGCGUUCCAUUAGAUAGUAGGCGGGGUAACGGCCCACCUAGUCUUCGAUGGAUAGGGGUUCUGAGAGGAAGGUCCCCCACAUUGGAACUGAGACACGGUCCAAACUCCUACGGGAGGCAGCAGUGAGGAAUAUUGGUCAAUGGGCGAGAGCCUGAACCAGCCAAGUAGCGUGAAGGAUGACUGCCCUAUGGGUUGUAAACUUCUUUUAUAAAGGAAUAAAGUCGGGUAUGCAUACCCGUUUGCAUGUACUUUAUGAAUAAGGAUCGGCUAACUCCGUGCCAGCAGCCGCGGUAAUACGGAGGAUCCGAGCGUUAUCCGGAUUUAUUGGGUUUAAAGGGAGCGUAGAUGGAUGUUUAAGUCAGUUGUGAAAGUUUGCGGCUCAACCGUAAAAUUGCAGUUGAUACUGGAUAUCUUGAGUGCAGUUGAGGCAGGCGGAAUUCGUGGUGUAGCGGUGAAAUGCUUAGAUAUCACGAAGAACUCCGAUUGCGAAGGCAGCCUGCUAAGCUGCAACUGACA